AACACGAAAUUUAACACAACACAGCGCCACUCCCUCCGGCUCUUGCCGUAGCAGACAUUCGAGAAACACUCCCUCGCCGGCCAGGACAUCUCUGUUAGGAAGAUUUUCUCAAUAAAUUUUCUCAAGCUAUGUCUGAGGCUGCAUCAUCUGUUGAUGAAUCACAUCCUAUGGACCCAAGUUUGGAGGAUACAAUUAGGUCUAAGUGUUGGUCUGAUGCAGUUGGUAGCAUGACUACUAAGAGGCAACUGUAUGGAGCUGGAGACCUUACUUGUGAUUUAAAAGAUACGUAGAACAGUCACAUCAAUAUUAAAAGGAAAGUAUCUUGUAGCAGUUCACAUGACACAGAAGACAUUGUUCAAUUGAAACAAUGACUUGCAAAACAUGAUGUGAUUAUUCGUCAGUUGCAACAAUUUCAAUCAAUUGUCUUGCAAUUCUUACCCGCAGAAGCACAAACUGCCAUUCAAAAUAUUUGUCAACAACAAAAUACCAACCUAGAUCAACAAAAUGGGGAACAACAUCAAAACCAACAACAAGAAGAUGACCAAGGAAAAAAUCAAGAAGACUCUCCUAAUUAUGAAGAUUAUUAGUUAGCAUUUGAAAAAUAUUAAUCUAUUUGAAUUAACUAUAUAUGAUGUUUGAAUUAUGAAUUGUUUAACAUAUGUUAGUGUUGGAUUAUUAUUAUGAUAUAAAUACUACUAUUAUCUUUUAAAUU